rnacentral:rRNA from 1 species
AAUGCUGACAUAAGUAACGAUAAAGCGGGUGAAAAGCCCGCUCGCCGGAAGACCAAGGGUUCCUGUCCAACGUUAAUCGGGGCAGGGUGAGUCGACCCCUAAGGCGAGGCCGAAAGGCGUAGUCGAUGGGAAACGGGUUAAUAUUCCCGUACUUGGUGUUACUGCGAAGGGGGGACGGAGAAGGCUAUGUUGGCCGGGCGACGGUUGUCCCGGUUUAAGCGUGUAGGUGUGUGUUCCAGGUAAAUCCGGUUCACUUUAACACUGAGGCGUGACGACGAGGCACUACGGUGCUGAAGCAACAAAUGCCCUGCUUCCAGGAAAAGCCUCUAAGCAUCAGGUAACAUCAAAUCGUACCCCAAACCGACACAGGUGGUCAGGUAGAGA